rnacentral:rRNA from 1 species
AUUGAACGCUGGCGGCAUGCCUUACACAUGCAAGUCGAACGGCAGCACGGGUGCUUGCACCUGGUGGCGAGUGGCGAACGGGUGAGUAAUACAUCGGAACGUACCUUAUCGUGGGGGAUAACGCAGCGAAAGCUGUGCUAAUACCACAUACGCCCUGAGGGGGAAAGCGGGGGAUCGCAAGACCUCGCGCGAUUAGAGCGGCCGAUGCCUGAUUAGCUUGUUGGUGGGGUAAAAGCCCACCAAGGCGACGAUCAGUAGCUGGUCUGAGAGGACGAUCAGCCACACUGGGACUGAGACACGGCCCAGACGCCUACGGGAGGCAGCAGUGGGGAAUUUUGGACAAUGGGGGCAACCCUGAUCCAGCAAUGCCGCGUGAGUGAAGAAGGCCUUCGGGUUGUAAAGCUCUUUUGUCAGGGAAGAAACACCGGCUCUAACACAGUCCGGGAAUGACGGUACCUGAAGAAUAAGCACCGGCUAACUACGUGCCAGCCGCCGCGGUAA